GAGCAAUGAUGAAAAGGUUUUCCUACUGACCUUUACAGUUAUGAAGGUUUCUACACUUGAUCUGAGCUCA
rnacentral:snoRNA from 1 species